AAGACUAACUGUAUAUUUAAUUUGAGUUAUCUGAGGGACUGCCUCCCCCAAUUUCAUCAGCCCCUCCCAUUAGAUUUGGCAGAGAAGGUACUUACAUUUCGUAGGUUCCGGGAGAAAGGCCUUGUCUAGUGUAAGCAUGACUUAUAGAACAUUCUCCACCCUGAAGUUAAAUUAGCUCAUGUUCAUGUUCCAAAAGUCCAUCAAGACUUAGUUAUAUCAUCAGUCCCCCAAGAUAUAUUUUAAUUUUUAAUAAUAUUUUAUUUUUAGUGAUGAUUGUUUUAUAUUUUAUAAUAAUUUUUUACGUAUUUGUUGUUUUAUUUGAUUGCUAUUUGUCACCCAGACUAACUUUUCAUGAGAUGGACAGACAUAAAAUUGAUACAUAAAUAAAAAAUCAUUUAUUAUUGUGGUUAAAACUCUUAAUAAAAAUAAUAAAAUAAUAGUUUAAAAAGAUCCCUGAUCCAUCAUGCAAUAGAGGUGGAUGUGUUACAGAUGUGGACCACAUGACCACUGUCUACAGCUGCUGUGGAAUCUGAGGAAAGAAUGCAGCUGUUCUAAGGUGUUGCAGACUGAUGCAGACUUCUUGCUCUGAAGCACUUUUAAGGAAAUUUAUUCUGAAGAAUUGCAUAGGCUUAUUAUUCUUUCUCUUCUGACAUACAUAAAGAUUAUUAGAAAUGUCAGCUGAUUUUUAAAAAAGGAAAUACUCAAGUAAUGAUAUCUGUGUGCAAAUGAGUGGUUAAUGGUGAAUAUUUAAUUUAAAAUACUAACACUGGCCUGUAAUGCCCAAAAAGGUUACCGGAAGGACUAUUUUCAGCAACACCUUGCACUCUGAAAUGGGCAUUUCCACCAGAGUAGUUAGACCAAAUGCUAAAACAGGCAGAAUAGCACUUAGCAAUGGCACUUAGACUUAUAUACCGCUUCACGGUGCUUUACAGAGCUCUCUAAGCAGUUUACAGAGUCAGUAUGACUCCUGCAUCUAGAGUUAGAGCAAACUAAUAUCCACCAAUAUUCAAGUAGGCUCUAAAUAUAUUUAGACUGUAGACAUUGACUUAUCACUGGGUAGGAUUUAGCUGAGAUACUGGGAUUGCAGAAAUGAUUUGCUUCAAUAGUUGUUGUUAUUGCUCGUGCUUAUUGAAUUUAUUUCAAAUCACUUUGGGAGAAGUUAUCUCAGAAGGCAUCAUCAUAACCAUUUUUAAUAAAUGAAUAAAUCCCUUCCUUGUAUAGGCUCAAGUGGGUACUAGUUUUAACUGAGCAACAGACAGCAAUAUAAACAUGCAAUUCAAAUGUCACAUAAGUAGAAUUUUUAAACAGAUAUUUCAGAAUCUCUGCUCCUCUUCCUAAGUCAUAAAAUUUAUACUCUAUAUAAUAUGGAAAGCAGGUUGAUACAAUCUGGCUAUUCCUUUAUAAUUUUUUUUAAGAGGACUGUAUUGUCAUCAUAUCCACCUGGUCAUCCAGGAAAAUUGAUGUACCAUUGAUGCUCUCAGAAAUAGUAAGUGCACUCUGAUUUUUUUUUAAUUCAAUUUUUAUUCUAGUGAUUUUCAGCAAAAAUGAUUUUCUUCUUGUUUCUUUACUCCCUUUCCUACUUAUCUGUCUAUAUAAUCAUAAAAUGAGGGGGAAAAACUUUGCAUGCAAAAAGACCUUGGUUUUGUCGGUAUCUUCAGUAAAAGUGUGAGAUCCAAAGAAAGUGUUUUGUUCACCAGAGUCAAAAUUGGGAUAGAUCUGGCAUCCAUCCUUUUGUGGGUUGAGGACAGUUUUUGAGUGAUGUGUUCCAGAAUACAUGGUAGGUAAGUCCAGAAGAAAACUUCUGUCUGAUUUAAUGAUAAAUAAAAUUAAUAUUAUGACUAUCAGGAAAUUUAGCAAUUUUCCCUUCAAUUAUAUUGAAGAUUUGGAUUUCAUGAUCACUUAUGAGUUGCUCUGCAAGAUAGCCCAGGAUUUUAAGGAACCCCUUGGGCUGAAUACUAUCAUGUUGUGAUAGGUUUAUACAUAUUCAGAUAUAAUCUUGUGCUGAAAACUAUUGAAAGUUUUAUCCCUCUGAUUAUAAGAAUAUCCACAGGGAACAAGUGACUUAUGUACUCAUGUGUCACAUGUGACUUUUUUGGUUUCUCAGGGUGCUUGAGAGGUGGGGAAAAUGUAUUAGAGUAUUGUUAUAAGUUUUUAAAUGCAAUGAUAGCAGGAAAAGCCAGCAAAAUAUUGCAGAUUAGUAAAAGAGUAUCAAAAGAGGGACAUGGACAGACACACAUACAACUCUAACAAUGAAAACAAGUUCCUAAAAAAAUAUUAACACAGUGAGUUCAGUUUUUAUUUCAUGAAAAUGAAGAGGGUUUUUUUUUUUUUAAAGAAGGAAAAUGUUUUGUUAAAACACUAGGCAGAUACAGUUUUUAUUUAUUUCUCAGUUUCUCAAACUUAACACUGGCAUGUCUGAUCCCAUUGUUUCUAAUCUUUAGCCAGGAUGCAAAGAACUGUAAAAUUAGUCUUGUAAAUCCAAGGAGACUUCAAGCUUGUUUUGCUUUAACAGCCGCCAACCACAGAGCAUGACGAACUGUUUAUAUCGUGGCACAGGAAUCAACUGUUGAAAGACAAAGAACAAGCCAGCAAUCCUUCCUGUCUUCGAUCUACUCCCUCCACAUGUAUCUAGCAAUGGGCAACUGCAGCAUCCUCUCCUAAACAAAAUAUAUGGAUCAGGUAAAUGCUACCUGAAGAAACUGGAACCAAAGAUGAUAGAAGUCCCCCCAAAAGAUGUUUUUCUUUAUUGUCCUGCCAAUGAGAGGAGAUGGGAAGAAGAGCUUCCUCAAUGCCAUCCUGGUGCAGUGGAUAGAAACUAGGAGAUGGGGAGUUCUAAUCCCACUUGGCCACAAGACCAAUUGGAUGACCUUCAGUUGGUUACUUAUUCUCAGGUGUCGGAAGAAGGCAGUGGCAAAUCACUUCCAAAAUCUUGCCAAAAAUUGCAGAAACUCAUCCAUCCAGUGGUCAACUUGCCUCACUUGAAAGCACACACAUUUAAAAGAUGGUACCUUACUGUGGAAUGAUACAUCCAGAGAUUUUUGCCUAGCACCUCCAAUAAGUCUUCUAAUUUCAAUUUUUUUAAAAAAAGAACCUUCAUUUUCUCAAGCAUAAAAAAAACAUGUUAGUCUUUUUAAAAGUUUGUAUUUGUUGGCCACUGCCAUCACUGGAUUUAUUACUGUUAUUGUUGGUCACACAGUCAACCAGAUAUUUAGGUUAGAUUUAGCAUUUUUAUCCAUUUAUCGAGUCCUUUCCAGCGACCUGGAAUAGGCAGAUAUUGUUUGAUGGUAUUAAAUGUAUCAUCACAAAUGUAAUUUGUUCUAAGUAAGUGCCUUUUGUAAUUGACUGAUAGUGAUUUUGUCAAUGCCAAUAGUGUUCAAGUGUACUCCAGAUGUUCAUUAUAUUAUUAUAAUUGGCAUUAUAACAUUACUAUUGUUGUUGGCCCAAUCUGAACUGUAUAAAAAGUGUUAGGAGUACAAUUUGUAAAAUACUCAAACCAUUCACAAUGUUGCACUUCUACCGUGACUAAAAGGCAUUACAUUUUUUAAAAAUUAUCUAUCCAUAUUUUAAUAGAAGUUAUUUAAAUUUAUUUCUUAGUAAACAUGCAGAAGAUUGUACUGAUGAUCUAGGACUCUUGUGUUAUCAAGACGACUCAGCUUUUGCAAAUAAUCCAAAAUACAUUUGUACAUUGAUGUGAAAAUGAUAUAAGGGGGCUGUUGUUACUGUUGCAAAUAUUUAGUAUUAGAGUGUCAGUAAAAUGAAACAUCUUGCCUUUCCCCUCCCGGGGCUAUGAGUCACUCCUAAACUGCAUGCAAAGAAACAGCUACAUUUUACCAAAUUUAAGAAGUUUCCAUAACUGACAUGUCCUUAUGUAGAAUAAUUUUAUUCCAUAUACCACUAUGUACUAUGUACAUUCAUAUACACCUCCUAAAAUACUUUGCAUACAAUAGACAAAAUCUAUUUUCACAGCCACUGAACAUAUAAAGCCAGCCCAGCUGUUCUUCUUUUCUGAAUCAUAACUUCAU